UAUAAAGGCACCGUUUUCCCUGUUUGCAAGGCUGGAAAAUGUGCUCCAAAAAUUGUGACAGGACAGCUUGUAUCGUGAAUCUCCUUCUAAGUGAAAUGUAAACAGACUCGUCAGCCCUUUCAUGACAAUACAAGCUUCUCAAGAUGAAAAAGGCCACUGCUGCCUCCCUACUGUCGGAACCUGCAAGUACGUCAGACUGCUGUGGAUUGGUGUGCUAAAAGAGGUUUCAGACUCAGAUCGAAAACUUCACCAUGAUCACAUUUGAUGUAGAAAAACUGGUUGGCUCCUUGCUUCUGAUCUCAAACAAUUAAAGUCUGCGGAAGAACUGUGGCAAGUUCUACAACAUGCUUGGAACAACCUCCCUCCUGAUUGUCUUAUAGAACUGCAGGACAGCGUUGGCUAUCAUAGAGAAGUGCUGCACUUUUAACAUCGAAGGGCGGUCACAAAAAAUAUUGAUUUGAUUCAGUUUUUUACUAUUCUGCCAAAUUACUAAAAUGUAAUGUAAAAUGCAUAGUAUGUUUAUUUAGGACCUUUCAUUGAAUUAUUUUUGAAAGAAUCUUCUGUACAGAGUGUUAUACAGGUGCCUAAGACUUUUGCACUGUAAAGUAUUUUUGUUUUUUGUAAUGGCCAUUAUAUCCUCUUAAAUCCUUGGAACAUUGUAUGUACACCAAAUUCCUUUCUGUUAUUGUUAGAACUAUUUUAACACAUGUCUAGAACAAACAUAUUUUAGCUUGUUCAAGCUUGGAGAUUGAGUGGCAGGAUCAUACUCAGCCCCUGCGUGACCAAUUACUUCAAGACAGA